AUACUUACCUGGCAAGGGAGAUACCGUGAUCAAGAAGGCGGUUCACCCAGGGCGAGGCUCAGCCAUUGCACUCCGGCUGUGCUGACCCCUGCGAAUUUCCCAAAUGUGGAAAUCUCGAUUGCAUAAUUUAUGGUAUUGGGGGACUGCGUUCGCGCUCUCCCCUG
rnacentral:snRNA from 8 species